rnacentral:rRNA from 1 species
GAGCACGUAGGUGGGUUUGUUAAGUCAAAUGUGAAAUACACUGGCUCAACCAGUGGACUGCGUUUGAAACUGGCAGACUUGAGUAUAGGAGAGGAGAGUGGAAUUCCUGGUGUAGCGGUGAAAUGCGUAGAUAUCAGGAAGAACAUCGAUGGCGAAGGCAGCUCUCUGGCCUAAAACUGACGCUGAGGCACGAAAGCGUGGGGAGCAAACAGGAUUAGAUACCCUGGUAGUCCACGCCGUAAACGAUGGAUACUAGGUGUGGGGGGUUCGAUUCCCUCUGUGCCGGAGUUAACGCAAUAAGUAUCCCGCCUGGGGAGUACGGUCGCAAGAUUGAAACUCAAAGGAAUUGACGGGGGCCCGCACAAGCGGUGGAGCAUGUGGUUUAAUUCGAUGCAACGCGAAGAACCUUACCAAGGCUUGACAUCCCAUGACUACCUAUGAAAGUAGGGUUGCCCUUCGGGGCCAUGGAGACAGGUGGUGCAUGGUUGUCGUCAGCUCGUGUCGUGAGAUGUUGGGUUAAGUCCCGCAACGAGCGCAACCCUUAUCCUUAGUUGCCAGCAUUAAGUUGGGGACUCUAAGGAGACUGCCGGUGAUAAACCGGAGGAAGGUGGGGAUGACGUCAAAUCAUCAUGCCCUUUAUGCCUUGGGCUACACACGUGCUACAAUGGGUUGUACAGAGGGCAGCGAAGCCGAGAGGUGAAGCGAAUCC